CCUACGGGCGGCAGCAGUGAGGAAUAUUGGUCAAUGGGCGCGAGCCUGAACCAGCCAAGUCGCGCGAAGGAUGACUGCCCUACGGGUUGUAAACUUCUUUUAUAAAGGAAUAAAGUGAGGCACGUGUGACUUUUUGUAUGUACUUUAUGAAUAAGGAUCGGCUAACUCCGUGCCAGCAGCCGCGGUAAUACGGAGGAUCCGAGCGUUAUCCGGAUUUAUUGGGUUUAAAGGGAGCGUAGAUGGGUUGUUAAGUCAGUUGUGAAAGUUUGCGGCUCAACCGUAAAAGUGCAAUUGAUACUGGCAGCCUUGAGUACAGUUGAGGUAGGUGGAAUUCGUGGUGUAGCGGUGAAAUGCUUAGAGAUCACGAAGAACUCCGAUUGCGAAGGCAGCUUACUAAACUGCCACUGACAUUGAUGCUCGAAAGUGUGGGUAUCAAACAGGAUUAGAUACCCGAGUAGUC
rnacentral:rRNA from 1 species